ACUAUAAAUCAAAGGAGACACAGGAGCCUUAAAUCCCACACCAACAAGUUAAGGAAAAGUUAUUACUCUUCAACCAUCAGACUGCUGAACCAGCAUGGAUAACAUCACUCAUCUCAACAUCGAACUGCUUCCACAACCAAUGGACUCACUUUCAAGGGCCUCAGCAUGGUAAUGACCAGAGUGCCUGCAUCACCCAUAUACACCCAAGUGACCUAUUAACCUGUACAGCUUUGUGAUGUAUGAGGGAACCGGAGCACCCGGAGGAAUACCAUGCGGUCGUGGGAAGAACGUACAAACUCCUUCCAGGAAUUAGAACUCAUGAGGAGAUGAAGAGAGAAGACGCCGGAGAGGAGAGGUCGUAGGUGUGGACUUGGAGUUGGGCCAGGUGUCGACGAAGCCCGGGGAAAUCAAUGGAGGAUCGGCGAAGGGGAAAUCAUGAGUUCCAAUUUGUGCACAUUAGACUGUUUCACUAAAAUAGACCUUUUUC